CGUUCAACCUCAAAAGAAGCAGAGGGGGCUUAGUGGUGGGGUGACUGCGUACCUUUUGUAUAAUGGGUCAGCGACUUAUAUUCUGUAGCAAGGUUAACUGUAUAGGGGAGCCGGAGGGAAACCGAGUCUUAACCGGGCGUUAAGUUGCAGGGUAUAGACCCGAAACCCGGUGAUCUAGCCAUGGGCAGGUUGAAGGUUGGGUAACACUAACUGGAGGACCGAACCGACUAAUGUUGAAAAAUUAGCGGAUGACCUGUGGCUGGGGGUGAAAGGCCAAUCAAACCGGGAGAUAGCUGGUUCUCCCCGAAAGCUAUUUAGGUAGCGCCUCGUGAAUUCAUCUCCGGGGGUAGAGCACUGUUUCGGCUAGGGGGCCAUCCCGGCUUACCAACCCGAUGCAAACUGCGAAUACCGGAGAAUGUUAUCACGGGAGACACACGGCGGGUGCUAAUGUCCGUCGUGAAGAGGGAAACAACCCAGACCGCCAGCUAAGGUCCCAAAGUCAUGGUUAAGUGGGAAACGAUGUGGGAAGGCCCAGACAGCCAGGAUGUUGGCUUAGAAGCAGCCAUCAUUUAAAGAAAGCGUAAUAGCUCACUGGUCGAGUCGGCCUGCGCGGAAGAUGUAACGGGGCUAAACCAUGCACCGAAGCUGCGGCAGCGACACCGUGUGUUGUUGGGUAGGGGAGCGUUCUGUAAGCCUGUGAAGGUGUGCUGUGAGGCAUGCUGGAGGUAUCAGAAGUGCGAAUGCUGACAUAAGUAACGAUAAAGCGGGUGAAAAGCCCGCUCGCCGGAAGACCAAGGGUUCCUGUCCAACGUUAAUCGGGGCAGGGUGAGUCGACCCCUAAGGCGAGGCCGAAAGGCGUAGUCGAUGGGAAACGGGUUAAUAUUCCCGUACUUGGUGUUACUGCGAAGGGGGGACGGAGAAGGCUAUGUUGGCCGGGCGACGGUUGUCCCGGUUUAAGCGUGUAGGUAUGUGUUCCAGGUAAAUCCGGUUCACUUUAACACUGAGGCGUGACGACGAGGCACUACGGUGCUGAAGCAACAAAUGCCCUGCUUCCAGGAAAAGCCUCUAAGCAUCAGGUAACAUCAAAUCGUACCCCAAACCGACACAGGUGGUCAGGUAGAGAAUACCAAGGCGCUUGAGAGAACUCGGGUGAAGGAACUAGGCAAAAUGGUGCCGUAACUUCGGGAGAAGGCACGCUGACACGUAGGUGAAGUGAUUUACUCACGGAGCUGAAGUCAGCCGAAGAUACCAGCUGGCUGCAACUGUUUAUUAAAAACACAGCACUGUGCAAACACGAAAGUGGACGUAUACGGUGUGACGCCUGCCCGGUGCCGGAAGGUUAAUUGAUGGGGUCAGCGCAAGCGAAGCUCCUGAUCGAAGCCCCGGUAAACGGCGGCCGUAACUAUAACGGUCCUAAGGUAGCGAAAUUCCUUGUCGGGUAAGUUCCGACCUGCACGAAUGGCGUAAUGAUGGCCAGGCUGUCUCCACCCGAGACUCAGUGAAAUUGAACUCGCUGUGAAGAUGCAGUGUACCCGCGGCAAGACGGAAAGACCCCGUGAACCUUUACUAUAGCUUGACACUGAACAUUGAGCCUUGAUGUGUAGGAUAGGUGGGAGGCUUUGAAGUGUGGACGCCAGUCUGCAUGGAGCCGACCUUGAAAUACCACCCUUUAAUGUUUGAUGUUCUAACGUGGACCCGUGAUCCGGGUUGCGGACAGUGUCUGGUGGGUAGUUUGACUGGGGCGGUCUCCUCC
rnacentral:rRNA from 1 species